UGGUGGAGCGAUUUGUCUGGUUAAUUCCGAUAACGAACGAGACUCUAGCCUAUUAAAUAGUUCGCCGAUUUUUCGAGUCGGCGUCAACUUCUUAGAGGGACAAGUGUCGUUUAGGCACGCGAGAUUGAGCAAUAACA
rnacentral:rRNA from 1 species